rnacentral:rRNA from 1 species
AGUGAACGCUGGCGGUAGGCCUAACACAUGCAAGUCGAACGGCAGCACAGUAAGAUCUUGCUCUUACGGGUGGCGAGUGGCGGACGGGUGAGGAAUACAUCGGAAUCUACUUUUUCGUGGGGGAUAACGUAGGGAAACUUACGCUAAUACCGCAUACGUCCUACGGGUGAAAUCAGGGGUUCUUCGGACCUUUCGCGUUUGUAUGAGCCGAUGUCGGAUUAGCUAGUUGGCGGGGUAAAGGCCCACCAAGGCGACGAUCCGUAGCUGGUCUGAGAGGAUGAUCAGCAAAACUGGAACGGAGACACGGUCCAGACACCUACGGGAGGCAGCAGUGGGGAAUAUUGGACAAUGGGCGAAAGCCUGAUCCAGCCAUACCGCGUGGGUGAAGAAGGCCUUCGGGUUGUAAAGCCCUUUUGUUGGGAAAGAAAAGCAGCAGGUUAAUACCCCGCUGUUCUGACGGUACCCAAAGAAUAAGCACCGGCUAACUUCGUG